GAUGAGAAACCAAAUCAUUUGCUGUUAGACCGGACAGAGGCUUGUACAAGCGCCGAUAAUUCUGUGUCGCCGCUCGUCACCACGGCAGCGAAACUGAUGCCGCUGGCUCUUUUGGUCGUAGUCCAUUAUACGCAUGCGCUCGGUUUUGACUAUGCAAAGGAUUACCUGCGGUUCUCAAUCUACAUGUUGAAGUGGACACUAGACAACGACCUAGUUAGAAAACACACUCUGCUGAAACUGCUAUAAAAAGCCUAUUCGCAGGUGUCUUCAACACUUGA